rnacentral:rRNA from 1 species
GUGAGGAAUAUUGGACAAUGGGCGCAAGCCUGAUCCAGCCAUGCCGCGUGCAGGAAGACGCAUCUAUGGUGUGUAAACUGCUUUUGUACGGGAAGAAACACUCCCUCGUGAGGGAGCUUGACGGUACCGUAAGAAUAAGGAUCGGCUAACUCCGUGCCAGCAGCCGCGGUAAUACGGAGGAUCCAAGCGUUAUCAGGAAUCAUUGGGUUUAAAGGGUCCGUAGGCGGUUUAAUAAGUCAGUGGUGAAAGCCCAUCGCUCAACGAUGGAACGGCCAUUGAUACUGUUAGACUUGAAUUACAAGGAAGUAACUAGAAUAUGUAGUGUAGCGGUGAAAUGCUUAGAUAUUACAUGGAAUACCAAUUGCGAAGGCAGGUUACUACUUGUGGAUUGACGCUGAUGGACGAAAGCGUGGGGAGCGAACAGGAUUAGAAACCCUAGUAGUCC